ACUUGUGUCGCAGUAAGAUACU
rnacentral:miRNA from 1 species